UACGAACGCUGGCGGCGUGCCUAAUACAUGCAAGUCGAACGCUUUUUCUUUCACCGGAGCUUGCUCCAUCGAAAGAAAAAGAGUGGCGAACGGGUGAGUAACACGUGGGUAACCUGCCCAUCAGAAGGGGAUAACACUUGGAAACAGGUGCUAAUACCGUAUAACACUAUUUUCCGCAUGGAAGAAAGUUGAAAGGCGCUUUUGCGUCACUGAUGGGCGGACCCGCGGUGCAUUAGCUAGUUGGUGAGGUAACGGCUCACCAAGGCAACGAUGCAUAGCCGACCUGAGAGGGUGAUCGGCCACACUGGGACUGAGACACGGCCCAGACUCCUACGGGAGGCAGCAGUAGGGAAUCUUCGGCAAUGGACGAAAGUCUGACCGAGCAACGCCGCGUGAGUGAAGAAGGUUUUCGGAUCGUAAAACUCUGUUGUUAGAGAAGAACAAGGAUGAGAGUAAAAUGUUCAUCCCUUGACGGUAUCUAACCAGAAAGCCACGGCUAACUACGUGCCAGCAGCCGCAGUAA
rnacentral:rRNA from 1 species